AGGCUGGCCGGUGCAGCUGGUUCGCCCUGUCCGCCAGACAGAAGCGUCGCAAGAGGGAACCCGGUGGGAAUCCGGGACUGCCCCGCAGCGGUGAGCGGGAACGACCGCCGUCAUACGCACUGGGCCCGGCCGGGUCUGGGAAGCGACGGCCAGUAGGAGUCCGCCGGGAGGCCGGCGUACGUGCCCGCGAGUCCGAAGACCUGCCCGCUGUCCGCGCACGAC
rnacentral:ncRNA from 1 species